rnacentral:misc_RNA from 1 species
AAAUUCAUCGCCUUCUGCAUCUCCGGCAUGGUCGCCGGCCUCUCCGGCUAUCUCUGGGUGUCGCGCUACGUCAUCGCCUCGGUCGAGGUCGCCAACGGCUACGAGCUUUCGAUCAUCGCGGCCUGCGUUAUCGGCGGCGUCUCGAUCGCCGGCGGCAUCGGCUCGGUCGCUGGCGCGGUGCUCGGUGCGCUCUUCCUCGGCAUCAUCCAGUCGGCGCUCCCCGUCAUCAACGUCUCGCCCUUCUGGCAGAUGGCGAUCUCCGGCAGCGCCAUCAUUCUCGCCGUCGUGCUCAACGCGCGCGGCGAGCGCAAGCAGGGCCGCAUCAU